AAGAACACAAAUUGAAUUUCAGCAAUCGGCCCAGUGAAACAAGAGAUACAGAACUGUCCCCCCCCUUUUUUUCCCGCAGUGUACAUGCAUGUGUAUUCAAAAUUUGGUGGUUCUGUAUGUUGCUGUUUUCCUGCAGUGCAAGAAUAUGCGAAUAUACAUGCAGUUUCUUAAUUUUUUAAUAGUAGGUAUUAGUAAUUAUAUAUGUUAACUAUUGAAAAAAUUCAAAAUUUUUUGUUUGGGAAUCAGUGUAAUCCAACUUUUAGAUGUUUUAUUUCAUUGAAUUAGUAUUGUGGAUUUUUAAUUGCAGUAUGUGUUUAAAUGCUGUGACUUUUAAGAUACAAUUCUGGUUUUUAGGAUGAAGAACUUUAUGCAAGCAUACAGGAAAUAAUUCAUAGCUCAAACUUUGAAGAUAUCACUCUUCGCAAUGUUAUUGAUCGAGUUUCUGCUCAGUAUUCAAAUCAUGAUUUGACUCAUCGCCAUAACUACAUGAAAGAAUGUGUUAAAAAGAUAAUCAUAGGCACCUGAUAACAGCAUAUGCUUUUGUUUUUAUCUCAUCAAUUCUGACAGAAUUCAUGUUAGUUGCUGAAUAUGUUAUCAUCACAUCAUUUUGCAUAUUUUAUUAUAUCAAAAAUGAAAAUAUAUAAAUUUAUAAUAUUUUUUAUUUAUCUAUUUUUCCAUCUGAUUUAAAAACAGUUUGGAUAACAUUAUUCUCAUUGUGUAUAAAUAUACAUAUUUAUUAUCAUUUAGGAUUUAUAUCAAAAAGUGCAUUAACGGUAAUAGAAUCAAGUAUAUAAAUGCAGGUUAAUUUUGGCAUAAUUCAUUAUUGCAAUGUCUGUUUCCAUAAAUUAUGAUAAAACUUUUUUUUCCCUGUGGAAUGUUGAACUUGGAAUGUUCCCUGUGGAAUGUCCAGGAAAAACUGUUUCAUAAUCAUGCAACUAUAUACUAUGUAUUUAUGAUUUGAAUAAUUUUUUAAAAAAUUACCUUGUUUUUAUCUAAAUGAUUUUGUUUUAAAUAUUUACUACCUUCUUAGAAUAAAAUAUUCCUUAUAUAUAUUUUUAUUUUGUUCUAAAAUUAGUUAAAAUUAAGUCAUGCAAUCCUGUAUAAUUAUUCAUUGUAUAAUUUACAACCUAGAUUUUCAAAGUGAAGUAUAAAAUUAUUUUGAAAAGCAUUAUAGGGUGAACUUUCAUUUAACAUGCAUAGCAGAAAUAAUUAAAAAAAGGGGGGGGAAGAAAAAAUUUUCUAUGAGGUAUACUUUUAAUUCUCUCUUUGAGGAAAGUAUUCUUUUAAACUAUACUUCAGAAUAAAAAGUAUUUCUCAUAAACAGAUAAACUAUAACUCUCCAAUUUUUUAUUGGUAGAAACAAUCUAGGUUCCUUCCCUAGAUUGAUGUUAUUCUUAGUUUUGGAUGUAUUUAAUUUAGAAUUUGUAUUCUAGUAACCGAAAUCACUGAAUGACAAAAAUGUGUAAGUUUAUUUGCUAGUUAUAAAAAUUAUUAUCUAAGUAACACUUAAAAUUGAUAGUUUUUAAUGUCAUUCUUAGGAUGGCAAAUUUUAACUUGAAAUAAUUUUUUAAUUCUUAGCAAAAUAGGUUUGGAGAAAUACAGAUUAUUAUUAUUAUUGUCAAUUAAAGUUGUAAAUCUCUUAAUAAAUUGUUGAGUUUAAAGAUGUAUUAGGGGUACUCAAUCAGUAGCGCAUUUAUUCCAAAAGCCACGCACACAUACAAAAGAAAAAAAAGAGAGAGGGAAAGAAAAGAAAGAAAUGCAUUAUAGUUUAGUUAAGAAUUUGUGUAGUAAAUACUACUAUUAUUUAAUAAAUUAAGUAUCAGUGGUAUUAAUUUAUACCAAUUGUUUAUUGUUUUAAGCCAAACAACAAAAAUCAGCAUUAUAUUUUCAAAUUUUCACAGGACUAGUUUUGAUGGUUUUUACCAAACCAUCAUCCUCAGUUGCAAAAGUGCAAUUCCAUUUGUGCUUUCCAGCUGAGGAUGGUGGUUUGGUAAAACCAUUGAAACUAGUCCUGUGAAAAUUUGAAAAUAUAACACUGAUUUUUGUUGUUUGAUUUCUAAAUUAAUACUUGUUCUGCAUGUUAUUGUACCUUAAUUAUCAAUGGUAUUAUUAACUAGAAUAAAUUUACCAUCAAAACUUUAUUACCAUUUAUAUAAAUUGCUGCAUUGGGGCAAGAAAGUGUGUUAUUUGAUAAACUGAUUUUUUUAGGGGGGUAGUUAGUUUUCGGCUAAUUAUUAUCUAACUAAAUGAAUGGAACAUUAAGAAAAUUUUUUAAAGACUGCAAAGCAAUCACAAAUAAUCAGAUUUUAUUUGCUGUGUUGUAAAUGAAUUUCAGUUGAAGUAAUAGAAAAUUAUUGUAAUGAAUAAUUGUUAUGGAUUGCAUCAUCUGUUAUGUUCUGUUUAUGUGUCAUAAUAAAUGUGUGUAUAAAUAAAUGUAUGUCUAAAUAAAUGUCCAUACUGUAAAUGAAAGUUUGUAAAUAUAUUUGGUCAAUUGUUUAUAUAUUAUUUUAAAUAUUUGCACUUAUAUGAUUAGUUAUAAGUUAAACAUAUUUUGCUGUUUCUAAUACACAAAAGUGAAGUAUAGUUUUAAGAUAGAAAUGUUAAUAAACAUUGAUAUUUAAUGUAAAAUAAAUUUAAUAAAUGUACUUUUUCUUAUUUCUAUAAAUGUAAUCUGCUAUUAUGUAACACCAGUACAAAUAUGGUAAAACUUUUCAUAUAGAACAUUGUCCAGUCAUUCAUUCUUUUGGUUUAGAUAAUAUUUAAUUUUUUUAAGAUUUUCCUUAGGUAUAUCGUGCAGUGCAAAAGGCAUACAGUGCAUAGGCAUACAUGCCUAUAGCUUGUACACUGUAAAAGUCUGUUUAAAAAGCAAAAUAAAAUAUUGAAAUUAUAAAUAGAAAAAAAAAAAAAAAACUUUAGAGUAGGAAACAAUCUAACCAGAUGUUACAUAACUGUAAAUUAAUAUUGUAUAUUAAUAAUUCUGUUUGAGUUAAAAAUCAUCAAGUAAUGCUUAUAACGUGCCAGGUUACAUAACUGUAAAUUAUUUUGUGUACAUUGACAAUUCCAUUUGAGUUAAAAAUCAUCAAGUAAUGCUUAUAAUGUGCCAGUGCAUGACAAAACUGAACAUCAUGAAUUUCACAAGAGUUAUAGAUUGCCAUUACAGAGGUUUCACAGUAAACUAACAGUGUGUAAUAAAGUUUUGCACUAGUUUGGUUUUGUCAGAACUAUUGUAAGUUAAGUGUUAUUUUGUUUCUUUAUAAGUUAAUAGCUUGCUAGAAAAGCUGUUUAUUGUUAUAUGAAAUAGAGAUAUUUUUAAACAAAAUUAUUUUACAAAAAUUGAUGUAAUGUAUUACUCUUUAUUAAAUGAUAAAUCAGCUUUUUGUCUGAUGCAGCUUAAAGUGGUUAAAUUCAGAAAGUACAUUAAUUAAACUAGCUUUGUGAAAUUAUAGCAAGAUAUAGAAACAACAGAAAAAUAAAUUUCUUUGUAUCUUUUUCUUUCUUUUUAAGAAAUUGAUGGUGGAAUUUUAGCUUACUGUUAUAUAUAACCUGUUGGCCUAUUUGAAAAUACCUGAUAUUCAUAUUUGUUGAUCAUAAAAUUAUUUUAUGGUAUGGAUGCAGGUUGUUAUCUGACAAUUGGACAACUUGCUGAAUGCUUGUUCAUAGCUGUCGACUGUCUUACUCCUGAUUUUAUCAAGAGACUCCCGGUUUUUCGUCGCAUAUCCUGGUAGAUCACCAAAAAUCCUGUUUUUAAUUUUUACCCUUUGAUAACGAGAGUGUUUCUUUGCAGUAAAUUAAGUUUAUUGACUUAAUUAAACUUAAAUUGGGCAAAUUCCCCCGUCCCCGUCCAUAGUGAUUUUCAGAAUAAUUUUUCGUGUUAAAUUUUAUUUCAUCUCAAUUGUACUUUGUUCUCGUUGCAUUUUAAUGAUCUUUAUUAUUAUUAAAUUUCAUUUGAUCUGGUUUGUUUUAAUCUACUGCAGACAUUUGUAGAUUUGUAUUUGAAGAUUCAACUAGUGUUAGUCAUUAAGUUAAUUAAUUUUAUUUACUACAAUACAUGAUGCAUUACCCAAGUUUAUCCAUACAAAUGUUAUGUGCACUAAUUAUUAUUUUUAUUUCCAUUGUAUUUAAAAGUAGUAUGAAAAAUAAGAACUUUCUUACCCUAUUUGGUAUUUUCUCAAUAUAAAAGUGUAAGAAAAUUGCAAAAUAAAAUUUAGAAUAUCUAGUUAAGUAGUAAUAAUUUUACAUCAGGAUUGUAUUACAAAUAGUUCAGUAAACUGAAUCUUGUACUAUAAAGUGAAUUUAUAUCAUUUUGAAACUCCUAUGAAAUGGCAUCACUGCACAGCUUGAAGACCUCCUCAUUUCACCUAUUUUCUCGCAGGUCUUUUGGUUUUCAGAUUUUUAGUUUGUUAGUUAUGCUUGUUUAUGUUAGAAUGAUUUUUCAAUUCAGCAUGUAUUUUAAGGUACUAUUUUAGUAUAUAUUUUCAAGAAGAAUAGAAGCAAAUAUAAGCAUUUAUUUGAAAACUAAAAUAUGAAAUAUUUAAAAUUUUUUAAGAUUCUCUUCAAAUAUAUAGGUUCAAAUGUAUUAUUUAUAACCAUUAUUGCAGUUUUUAUUCUCUUCUUCCCCUUCAAAUAAUAAUGAUAAAGAAACAACAGCAAAAAAAAUACCUGUGCAACAUUAGUAUUUAGUGUACGAUAACUAAAAUUAUAAUUACAAAUAAGUUUGGGAAUGUAUUUUUAACUCUCCCCCCCCACACCCUGGACAUUGAAAGUAAUAUCAGACUUUGUUGAUAUAGAAAAAAAAAGAAAUUAUA
rnacentral:lncRNA from 1 species